UACAGAGGGUGCAAGCGUUAAUCGGAAUUACUGGGCGUAAAGCGUGCGUAGACGGUUAUGCAAGUCGGGUGUGAAAGCCCCGGGCUCAACCUGGGAAUGCCAUUCGAGACUGCAUAGCUAGGGUGCGGAAGAGGGAAGCGGAAUUUCCGGUGUAGCGGUGAAAUGCGUAGAUAUCGGAAGGAACACCAGUGGCGAAAGCGGCUUCCUGGUCCAGCACUGACGUUCAGGCACGAAAGCGUGGGGAGCAAACAGG
rnacentral:rRNA from 1 species